GGACGGGUGAGUAACACUUAGGAAUCUACCUAGUAGUGGGGGAUAGCUCGGGGAAACUCGAAUUAAUACCGCAUACGACCUACGGGAGAAAGGGGGCAGUUUACUGCUCUCGCUAUUAGAUGAGCCUAAGUCGGAUUAGCUAGAUGGUGGGGUAAAGGCCUACCAUGGCGACGAUCUGUAGCUGGUCUGAGAGGAUGAUCAGCCACACCGGGACUGAGACACGGCCCGGACUCCUACGGGAGGCAGCAGUGGGGAAUAUUGGACAAUGGGGGGAACCCUGAUCCAGCCAUGCCGCGUGUGUGAAGAAGGCCUUUUGGUUGUAAAGCACUUUAAGCAGUGAAGAAGACCUAACGGUUAAUACCCGUUAGCGAUGACAUUAGCUGCAGAAUAAGCACCGGCUAACUCUGUGCCAGCAGCCGCGGUAAUACAGAGGGUGCAAGCGUUAAUCGGAAUUACUGGGCGUAAAGCGAGCGUAGGUGGCUUGAUAAGUCAGAUGUGAAAUCCCCGGGCUUAACCUGGGAACUGCAUCUGAUACUGUUAAGCUAGAGUAGGUGAGAGGGAAGUAGAAUUCCAGGUGUAGCGGUGAAAUGCGUAGAGAUCUGGAGGAAUACCGAUGGCGAAGGCAGCUUCCUGGCAUCAUACUGACACUGAGGCUCGAAAGCGUGGGUAGCAAACAGGAUUAGAUACCCUGGUAGUCCACGCCGUAAACGAUGUCUUCUAGUCGUUGGGUCCCUUGAGGACUUAGUGACGCAGCUAACGCAAUAAGUAGACCGCCUGGGGAGAGCGGCGC
rnacentral:rRNA from 1 species